rnacentral:rRNA from 1 species
GUAGGGGGCAAGCGUUGUCCGGAUUUAUUGGGCGUAAAGAGCGUGUAGGCGGCCUGAAAGGUCAGCUGUGAAAACUCGAGGCUCAACCUCGAGACGUCGGUUGAAACCAUCUGGCUAGAGUCCGGAAGAGGAGAGUGGAAUUCCCGGUGUAGCGGUGAAAUGCGCAGAUAUCGGGAAGAACACCCGUGGCGAAGGCGGCUCUCUGGGACGGUACUGACGCUGAGACGCGAAAGCGUGGGGAGCGAACAGGAUUAGAUACCCUGGUAGUCCACGCCGUAAACGAUGGGUGCUAGGUGUGGGGGGUGUCGACUCCCUCCGUGCCGAAGCUAACGCACUAAGCACCCCGCCUGGGGAGUACGGCCGCAAGGCUA